GCCCUUAUAUUUGUUCCUCUCUCCUCUCCGGUUUGCCUUUGAUCCCGUCUCCUCAAACCUCUGCCCCAUGGGUCACCAGCUGUCAGACAGCCAGAGGAGGGUGCCGCCUCUCUUCUUAUCCGCACUUUUUUUUUUUGCCGUUUGGGAUCCGCACACCGUUUUGCACCCGGGGAAUCAUCUGGGAACCCCAGGGACAAGGAUGCAGAAGGCCAGGCCAUAUGGUAGAUGUCUCUUCGCCACCCUGACAAAGAGAGGACUCGGGGAAUGGGCCGCAGGGUCACUCCUUGACACCGACGGCCAUAGAGCGACAGCAAUUAUAUACAGGUUCGAAGAGGCUUGUGUCCGGGACGGAUGGAAAGACGAGGCCCAUGUAUCCCCUGGCACAGCAGAGGGAGGGACAGCGCCGCGUGGGUGAUAUAAGGUUCAUAAUCAAGACAACAAAUGCCCCACGUAGGCGAGUGUCGGCCGCUUCCUAGCGGGGAGUUUUGUGUGUAGGAGCCUUUGUCGAACCACAUCCAGGGCAGGAAAGAAGAGAAGAUGGAGGCAGCUCUAAUUAAAGCCAAAGGAAAGUGUCAUCUGCUGUGAACUCGCGACCAGGGGCCGCGGCAAAUCAAUGGACAGCCAGAACUGUCAUCAUCAUCAUCAACAGCUCCCGAUCAGAGCAAUUUGGAGGGCGAACAAAAAAGGAAUGAGAAAGACCCCGCCAGGAAGCUCCCUGCCACCUGUGCAGAGCCAGAGAGAGUGGGAGUCGGGGGAGAGACGCACGGGGAGAACAAAAUGGUGACUCCGCGGUUUCGAGCCACUGUGGAACGCCGGAGAUUCAUCGCUCCUUCGUUUUGGAACGGGGCAAUUUUGUCAUCAUCGCCGAGGACAUCUAUUUUGAUGAGCGACGGCGCAAUUGUGCGAACGUUGGCUGUGAUCAGAAUGAGCUAAUGACCCCGGUAAAAGAAAUAUAGAUUUUUUAUUUUUUUUUGGACGGCCCUUCGCUCCAGGAUCAGCGGGCUGCAUACGCUUGACGUCACUUCCUCAGGCCGCGAUGACGACACGAUUCCCGACACCUUCUCCUUGAGCAUCAGCCUCAGCACCAAGUUUUGCUGGGGUCAUGGUUUUGUGGGCACUGCUGCCUCUAGAUGUCACAUUGAGAACUACAGUCCCAUCACAAUUUGUGUUAUAGUUUUUUUUAAAGGUAAGACUUUUGCAGAUCUCCUUCAAACGCACACAUGCAGAUAAUUGCCUGGAAAAAAAAUAUCUUAAUUUUCUCAUAAUUUGACUCUGUUUCCAUUUGUCUAAGUAUAUUAUAGCGUAAUUCUAAGCCGACAGCUGGUCUCUCUCACAGUAAAAAAAAAUAAAUAACACAAGUCUUGUCUCACAUAAGUGAUUUCAAUUUUAUUUCUUUCCAAUGAAAGGAUAAAAAUAAGAGUGAAUGAAUUGCGGCUCUGAGGUUUAAUUGCUUUUUCAUGAUCCAGCAGUCCUGCAGGAAAAUGCGGCGUAAAAAAGCCCAAUUAGAGUCCUUUCACUUUGUGCCGCAG